UGAACUCUUGCGCCAGAAGGAACUCACCUCUCCGUCCUCCAAUGUGAUUCUCCCCCAAACCUACACCAACACAUUCCUCAUUUUUCUAUCCCAAUCUCACUUACUCCACAAAGCCUUCUUUAACUAAUUCUAUUUUCACCUACAUGCUCUCCACAGUUAAUUGCUCAGUUGGUUUUCUAUUCAUUUCCACUCAUUUUUAAAGGAAAUUCUAUCACACUAAAGCAGCUUCUUACAGGACUAAACUUCUUUGUGUUGACUUUCCUUCUUUUUUUUUUUUUUUUUUGAGACGGAGUCUCCCUCUGCCACCCAGGCUACAGUGCAGUGGUACGAUCUCAGCUCACUGCAACCUCCGCCUCUCAGGUUCAAGUGAUUCCCCCUGCGUCAGCCUCCUGAGUAGCUGGGAUUACAGGCGCCCACCACCACUCCAGGUAAAGGAAAGGAACUUGCCCAAGAUCGCACACCUUGGAAGUUGCAGUGCCUGCUUUGUCUGUCCUCUUAGAUACUAUGCAAGUCACAGGCCAAUAAAUGCAUUAUGUUAUUAUGGCAGUGGGAAUGCUGGAUGAUUGAAAGACUUGUUCAAGACAAAGAAGACACCCAUGGCAGAGCUAAAAUAAGAAUAAUUUGCUCUUUAAUAGUAAAGUAAUUCUUUGUCUUAACCAUCUGAUCCUAAUGAAAAAUGACUGAUGAUUUAAUGCAGACUAAAAACCAAAACUUGAAUUGAUUCGUUGACAUGGACAAAACUAGAAUUGCCUGCAAAUAUUCCCACAGCAGUGAUAAGAGCCACCCUUACGAAAGAAAUGAAAUAUGCAUGAAGGCUGCAGGUGGCAACCCCGCUCUCCCCACAGAGUAUACCUUUCCUCCGUGGGCCUUGCUUACUCCACUUCCCUUCCCCCUGAGACCCAGAGGUCUCACAUUCUUUUCCCUUCCUUCCCAUUAACCCUUGGACUUGAAGAAAUAAAACAAUUCAUCAUAGAAAACAUAAAGUAGCGAUUAUUAUCCCAAGUACAACCAAGAGGAUACUAUUCAUUGCAAACUGAGGAUUCAAAAUUGCUUUGAACUUGGUUAAUCUUUUGGUGUUUGUCUGAUAAUAAUACAAAUCUAAGAAGACUUUUUUGCAUAAUUUUGUUCAUGUGUUUUCAAAAUAUGUUAAUGCACCCAACACUCAUAUUUGAAUUUCUAAGUACUCACACCAGUCUCCAAUAAAAGGAACCAGGGCUCCUUGGUGAAAUAGCUGAUUCUAGAGCUGGGUCAAGGAAAAUACAAGAUGAGCUUAGAGCAUGAUCUAGUGCCAAAAAUAAGGAAGUG
rnacentral:lncRNA from 10 species